UCCCUGGAGGUCCAGUGGUUAGGACUUGGUACUUUCACUGCCGGGACCCAGGUUCAAUCCCUGGUCAGGGAA